AGUGAACGCUGGCGGUAGGCCUAACACAUGCAAGUCGAACGGCAGCACAGUAAGAGCUUGCUCUUACGGGUGGCGAGUGGCGGACGGGUGAGGAAUACAUCGGAAUCUACUUUUUCGUGGGGGAUAACGUAGGGAAACUUACGCUAAUACCGCAUACGACCUACGGGUGAAAGCAGGGGAUCUUCGGACCUUGCGCGAUUGAAUGAGCCGAUGUCGGAUUAGCUAGUUGGCGGGGUAAAGGCCCACCAAGGCGACGAUCCGUAGCUGGUCUGAGAGGAUGAACAAGCAACCCUGAACCUAGGCACGGGUCAGACCCCCUCGGGGGGGCACAGGUGGGAAUUUUUGGAAAUGGGGGGAAACCUUAUCCAAGCCAUCCGGGUGGGGUGAAGAGGGCUUCCGGGUGGUAAAGCCUUUUUGUGGGGAAGGAAAAGAAGAAGGUUAAUACCCCGCUGUUCUGCCGGUACCAAAAGAUUAGGCACCGGCUACUUUCGU
rnacentral:rRNA from 1 species